CUCCCUGAGAAGGACAGUAAUCCUGACACGAGAGAAAUUAGCCUCCUCAUCCCGCUUUCCUCCUUCUCCCACCUAAUUCGCCUGGUGAAUCAACCCCGUCC